GUAUACACAAUAUUUGCACCAUAUCUGUUACUCCAAUGAUCACCAGGGUUGAUUCUGCUGAUCAGUCUGACUGGGGGUUGUCCUUUUCCUUCUUCACUGCUCCACAUGUGUCCCUCCCUAAGCUAUGCACUCAAUUGAAGAGAACAACCAUUCCCGAUAGAGGAGGAAUGUUCUUGGGCCAAGGGUACAUGAAUGGCUGCACUCCCCUUCUGGAACCUCCAAACAAGCUCUUAAGACACUCUAAUAUUGUUAAGAAGAAAAAACUAUCUUUUCUAACUAUCCAUGGACUGGUGAUGUGGUUCAAGUGGUAGAGUGCCAGUGCAA
rnacentral:snRNA from 1 species